rnacentral:tRNA from 1 species
UAGUUCAGUAGAACGUGGGUCUCCAAAACCUGAUGUUGUAGGUUCAAAUCCCAC